GGGUGCAUGGUCUAGUGGUAUGAUUCUCGCUUCGCAUGUGAGCGGUCCCCGGUUCGAUCCCGGGUGCAUCCA